GCGUCGAGCGGAUCGAUCGCGCGGGUCACUACGAGGUAGUCGCGCAAGACGAUAGCGUGCCGGUUGUC
rnacentral:sRNA from 1 species